UACGUAGGUUGCGAGCGUUGUCCGGAUUUACUGGGCGUAAAGCGCGCGCAGGCGGUCUCGAAAGUCGAGUGUGAAAGCUCCCGGCCCAACUGGGAGAGGCCGUUCGAAACUUCGAGACUUGAAGGCGGGAGAGGCAGAUGGAAUUUCCGGUGUAGCGGUAAAAUGCGUAGAUACCGGAAGGAACACCAGUGGCGAAAGCGAUCUGCUGGCCCGCCCUUGACGCUCAGGCGCGAAAGCGUGGGGAGCAAAC
rnacentral:rRNA from 1 species